GGAUAGGUGGCAGAGAAGCUAUGCGUGAGACUGCAGAUCUCAUCUACUUGGGUCCAAAUCCCAACCUAUCCU
rnacentral:tRNA from 3 species